rnacentral:rRNA from 1 species
UACGUAGGGUGCAAGCGUUGUCCGGAAUUAUUGGGCGUAAAGGGCGCGUAGGCGGCCCGCUAAGUCGAACGUGAAAUCCCCGGGCUCAACCCGGGAACUGCGUCCGAUACUGGCAGGCUUGAAUCCGGGAGAGGGAUGCGGAAUUCCAGGUGUAGCGGUGAAAUGCGUAGAUAUCUGGAGGAACACCGGUGGCGAAAGCGGCGCGCUGGACCUCUUCUGACGCUGAGGCGCGAAAGCCAGGGGAGCAAACGGG